rnacentral:rRNA from 1 species
UACGGGGGGGGCAAGCGUUGUUCGGGAAUUACUGGGCGUAAAGGGCGCGUAGGCGGUUCGGUAAGUCCUGUGUGAAAUCCCUCGGCUCAACUGAGGAACUGCACGGGAGACUGCCGGGCUUGAGUUCGGGAGAGGGUCGUGGAAUUCCCGGUGGUAGCGGUGAAAUGCGUAGAGAUCGGGAGGAACACCAGAGGCGAAGGCGGCGACCUGGACAAGUACUGACACUCAACUACGAAAAGCGUGGGGAGCAAACAGGG